GUUAUCACAAUAGAGUUGCAUUGGUUGCCGAACAUGGAUCCCCAAAUCGGCUAACUCGCUGGUGGCAUCAACCAUGGCCCGGUACUCCACCUUGACAGAAGAACGAGAAAUAGUGGUCAGUUUCUUAGUCCUCCAUGAAAUAGGGCUUCCUCCUAACAAUACAAAAUAACCUGCAAGGGACCGUCGAGUCAAAGGACACGCAGCCCAAUCUGAGUCGCACUACGCUGUCAAGUGUAAUGAGCAGGGCUGCAAAAGAAUUCCUUGGCUCGAUGCAUGUUUGAGACAGAGCAAAACUCGAAGACCUGCGUCCCAAUGAGAUUGUCGCGAACUCUGCAUAAAUUGAGAUAGUAUAUGCACCGAGUAACAGAGAUCAGGCCGAGUAAUUGUCAAGUAUAUAAGAUGUCCCACGAGCCUGCGAUACUGUCCUAGAUCAAAAAAGAGAUCACCCAAGUCCUCUGAUAACUUGAGUUGCUGCUCCAUCGGAAAUAAAACAGGUCUACAUCUGAGCAUGUUGCAUUCUUCUAGGAUGUCAAGAACAUACUUGCGCUGGUUCAAAAAGUGACCCGAAGAAGUUUUAGCAACUUCAAUCCCAGGAAAGUACUUCAGAGACCCAAGCUCAUUUAUUAACACGAGCUCUAUCUAUUUAUCUGUAAAUGAAUGAAAUGCGUUUGAUUGAUUUUACUAAUUUAUGUCUCUUUCUCUUCCUUGCACGAUGGCACGAUGGUGAAGGGGGGAAAGCUUUGUCAUGUGCUUUCAUCAUGGGCAUGCUUACAAACUUUGACAGUAUGGAUUUGGUAGAAUUCACAAUAACCUCAUGAUGCUUCCUGUGAAUCCUUGUGAAAAAUCCUUUCAACGAUUGCAAAGCUUGCUAUUUGGAGUAGUCUCUGACAGGAAGCUGGAGGUGGAGAUGGGGUCAAGGCAUGAAGGAAUAAAGAUGCAUCGAACUUGAAUGCCAAACGACUCGGGAACUGAAGUCGUAAGAUCCCCUUCUCUCUGGGUAGUCAACGAAAGAUAACCCUUUACAGAAUCCUUCUCAUCGUAGAAAAGAGAUAAACGGAAAAAGUACGAAGAUUGCUUAGGAGAAUAUUUGCAUGGAUUCUGGAUAUGCAGACAAUAAUUAAAUUCAGUCAUUCUAUGCGGAGUUCAUCCUCCGUUAGGAUGAAAAGUGAUGAGAAAGAUCUUCAGAGAAGAGCAUGUGCUCCUCCAUUGGCUACAAUUGCAGGCUUGGGUAUGAAGAUUCGAGAACGAGCCUUCUUGAACGUCGACAUAGAUGUCUCGGCACUUCUAUUUAUUGCUACUUAAGUUCAGCGAAUUCCAGGUUGUAUAAGUAUUGGGUCUCAUAUAUGUAUAUAUUGAAUCCUGUGUAAACGGAUGAUCGAUACUAUUGUUUUUUACUUGGGAUAUAAGGUGAAUUCUACACUGAUGGAAUUUCGUUCUA